rnacentral:rRNA from 1 species
UACGUAGGGAGCAAGCGUUGUCCGGAAUCAUUGGGCGUAAAGCGCGCGUAGGUGGCCUCAUAAGUCCGCUGUGAAAGUCAAAGGCUCAACCUUUGAAAGCCGGUGGAUACUGUGAGGCUAGAGUACGGAAGAGGCGAGUGGAAUUCCUGGUGUAGCGGUGGAAUGCGCAGAUAUCAAGAGGAACACCAAUAGCGAAGGCAGCUCGCUGGGACGUUACUGACACUGAGGCGCGAAAGCGUGGGGAGCGAACAGG